GCGAGUGAAGCGGCAAAAGCUCAAAUUUGAAAUCUGGUACCUUCGGUGCCCGAGUUGUAAUUUGAAGAUUGUACUCUGGAGUUGGCCCUUGUCUAUGUUCCUUGGAACAGGACGUCACAGAGGGUGAGAAUCCCGUGCGAUGGGGUGUCCAAUUCCAUGUAGAGUGCUAUCGAAGAGUCGAGUUGUUUGGGAAUGCAGCUCUAAGUGGGUGGUAAAUUCCAUCUAAAGCUAAAUAUUGGCGAGAGACCGAUAGCGAACAAGUACAGUGAUGGAAAGAUGAAAAGAACUUUGAAAAGAGAGUGAAAAAGUACGUGAAAUUGUUGAAAGGGAAGGUUAUUAGAUCAGACUUGGUGUUUGGCGAUAUUCAGCCUCUUGUAGGCUGUUCACUCGUCUUUCACUGGGCCAGCAUCGGUUUGGAUGGCAGGAUAAUGGCUGUUGAACGUGGCUCUUCGGAGUGUUAUAGCUUCAGCUGAUACUGCCUAUCUAGACCGAGGACUGCGGCUUUCGAGCCUAGGAUGCUGGCGUAAUGAUCUAAUAUCGCCC
rnacentral:rRNA from 1 species